AUUGAACGCUGGCGGCAGGCCUAACACAUGCAAGUCGAGCGGAUGACGGGAGCUUGCUCCUUGAUUCAGCGGCGGACGGGUGAGUAAUGCCUAGGAAUCUGCCUGGUAGUGGGGGACAACGUUUCGAAAGGAACGCUAAUACCGCAUACGUCCUACGGGAGAAAACAGGGGACCUUCGGGCCUUGCGCUAUCAGAAGAGCCGAGGUGGGAUUAGCUAGUUGGUGGGGUAAUGGCUCAACAAGCCGACGAGCCUUAACGGGUCUGAGAGGAUGAUCAGUAACACUGGAACUGAGACACGGUCCAGACUCCUACGGGAGGCAGCAGUGGGGAAUAUUGGACAAUGGGCGAAAGCCUGAUCCAGCCAUGCCGCGUGUGGGAAGAAGGUCUUCGGAUUGUAAAGCACUUUAAGUUGGGAGGAAGGGCAGUAAGCUAAUACCUUGCUGUUUUGACGUUACCGACAGAAUAAGCACCGGCUAACUCUGUGCCAGCCGCCGCCGUAA
rnacentral:rRNA from 1 species